CCUACGGGUGGCUGCAGUGAGGAAUAUUGGUCAAUGGCCGGAAGGCUGAACCAGCCAAGCCGCGUGAGGGACGACGGUGCCAAGCAUUGUAAACUUCUUUUGUCAAGGGACAAAAUCAGGCUCGAGAGCCUGACCGAGGGGACCUGAAGAAAAAGCCUUGGCUAACUCCGUUCCAGCAGCCGCGGGAAGACGGGGGAUGCCAGCGUUAUCCGGAUUUAUUGGGGUUAAAGGGUGCGUAGGCGGGCUGUUAAGUCAGCGGUAAAAACCCGGGGCUCAACCCCGGCGAGCCGUUGAAACUGGCAGUCUUGAGAGGGCGAGAGGUAUGCGGAAUGCGCGGUGUAGCGGUGAAAUGCUUAGAUAUUGCGCAGAACGCCGAUUGCGAAGGCAGCAUACCGGCGGCGAUCUGACGCUGAGGCACGAAAGCGUGGGUAUCGAACAGGAUUAGAUACCCGAGUAGUC
rnacentral:rRNA from 1 species